UGAGGAAUAUUGGGCAAUGCCCGCAAGGGUGACCCAGCAACGCCGCGUGGAGGAUGAAUGUCGUAAGAUUGUAAACUCCUGUUAGAGGGGAAGAAUAGUACCGGUUGGACCGGUAUAUGACUGUACCCUCAGAGAAAGCCCCGGCUAACUACGUGCCAGCAGCCGCGGUAAUACGUAGGGGGCAAGCGUUGUCCGGAUUUACUGGGUGUAAAGGGCGCGCAGGCGGGAUAAAAAGUCAGUGGUGAAAUCCUACAGCUUAACUGUAGAACUGCCUUUGAUACUUUUAUUCUUGAGUUCGGGAGAGAGAUACGGAAUUCCAGGUGUAGUGGUGAAAUACGUAGAUAUCUGGAAGAACACCAGUUGCGAAGGCGGUCUCUUGGUCCGACACUGACGCUGAGGCGCGAAAGCGUGGGGAGCAAACAG
rnacentral:rRNA from 1 species